AGGACGAACGCUGGCGGCGUGCUUAACACAUGCAAGUCGAGCGGAAAGGCCCACUUGUGGGUACUCGAGCGGCGAACGGGUGAGUAACACGUGAGUAAUCUGCCCUUCACUUGGGGAUAACGUCCAGAAAUGGGUGCUAAUACCCGGUAUUCACUUCUUCACGCAUGUGGGGUUGUGGAAAGGUUUUCUGGUGGGGGAUGUGCUCGCGGCCUAUCAGCUUGUUGGUGGGGUAAUGGCUUACCAAGGCUUUGACGGGUA
rnacentral:rRNA from 1 species